rnacentral:rRNA from 1 species
AUUGAACGCUGGCGGCAGGCCUAACACAUGCAAGUCGAGCGGAGCGGCGGACGGGUGAGUAAUGCCUAGGCAUCUGCCUGGUAGUGGGGGAUAACGUCCGGAAACGGGCGCUAUACCGCAUUCUAUCAGAUGAGCCUUGGUGGGAUUAGCUAGUUGGGGGGGUAAAGGACUUACAAGGGGACGAUCCGUAACUGGUCUGGUAGGAUGAUCCGUCACACUGGAACUGAGACACGGGCCAGACUCCUACGGGAGGCAGCAUUGGGGAAUAUUGGACAAGGGGCGAAAGCCUGAGCCAUCCAUGCCGCGUGUGUGAAGAAGGUCUUCGGAUUGUAAAGCACUUUAAGUUGGGAGGCGUUACCAACAGAAUAAGCACCGGCUAACUUCGUGCCAGCCGCCGCGGUAAUUC